GAUGAAGAACGUAGCGAAAUGCGAUAAGUAAUGUGAAUUGCAGAAUUUAGUGAAUCAUCGAAUCUUUGAACGCAUAUUGCGCCCGCCAGCACUCUGGCGGGCAUGCCUGUUCGAGCGUCAUUUCAACCCUCAGGCCUCGUGUCUGGCGUUGGGGCGCUGCGGCCCUCCCGCAGGCCCCUAAAUUUAGCGGCGGACCCGUCUGGCCCUGAGCGCAGUAGUUACUUUACUCAAACGCUCCGGCGGCCGUGGCGCGGUUAUUCCUUCCGCCCAUAGCGCCAAUAGCACCACCCCAAUAAGUUGACCUCGGAUCAGGUAGGACUACCCGCUGAACUUAAGCAUAUCAAUAAGCGGAGGA
rnacentral:misc_RNA from 1 species